rnacentral:rRNA from 1 species
AACGAACGCUGGCGGCAUGCCUAACACAUGCAAGUCGAACGAGACCUUCGGGUCUAGUGGCGCACGAGUGCGUAACGCGUGGGAACCUGCCCUUAGGUUCGGAAUAACUCCCCGAAAGGGGUGCUAAUACCGGAUAAUGUCUUCGGACCAAAGAUUUAUCGCCUUUGGAUGGGCCCGCGUUGGAUUAGCUAGUUGGUAGGGUAAAAGCCUACCAAGGCGACGAUCCAUAGCUGGUCUGAGAGGAUGAUCAGCCACACUGGGACUGAGACACGGCCCAGACUCCUACGGGAGGCAGCAGUGGGGAAUAUUGGACAAUGGGCGAAAGCCUGAUCCAGCAAUGCCGCGUGAGUGAUGAAGGCCUUAGGGUUGUAAAGCUCUUUUACCCGGGAUGAUAAUGACAGUACCGGGAGAAUAAGCGCCGGCUAACUCCGUG